rnacentral:rRNA from 1 species
GCAGCCGCGGUAAUACGUAGGUCCCGAGCGUUGUCCGGAAUUACUGGGUGUAAAGCGCACGUAGGCGGAUACUUAAGUUAGGGGUGAAAUCCCAGGGCUCAACCCUGGAACUGCCUUUAAUACUGGGUAUCUCGAGUUCGAGAGAGGUGAGUGGAAUUCCGAGUGUAGAGGUGAAAUUCGUAGAUAUUCGGAGGAACACCAGUGGCGAAGGCGGCUCACUGGCUCGAUACUGACGCUGAGGUGCGAAAGCGUGGGGAGCAAA